GCAAAACUUUGAUAACAUAAUAACACAGAAAUAAACAGUAUCAAUCUAAUAUCCAAAAGAUACAAGUACCCCAUGCUUUGGCAAAUUGGACUUUUUUUUUUAUUUAUUUAAAUCCCACCUAUUACAUGUCAGUAUCAAUCGUGCCCUGAAGGCGAGAUGUAAGUGUGAAGCUGAGACUAACCCUCAUAAUUUCUCAAACGAAAUCCCACAUAAUUCCCACGAUGUUAAUUAGGGAAAUGCAUUAGUCAGAGGCUGCAAAGCUUCAGUCUUUCAAUAGCUAAACGCAAAUAACUAUUACGCUCUUAUUGGCCAAUGCACAUUCAAAUUUUUCACUAUUAUUCAAAUGAAAUUUCCAUAAACUAGUACAUAAAAUUAACAGAUUUCAAAACAUAUAAUUACAUUCUAAAUUGAAAAUGUGUGAAAAUAAAUAAAUAAUACUAACCAUCUUGAGGGUUGCUAUAGUUAA
rnacentral:misc_RNA from 1 species